AGCUUUUAGGGUUGCUCUCAGUUCGCCGGACGGCCGCCAGAGUGUGCUGCCGCGCAGGACCAAGCCUCACUCGCGCUGCAACCAGUGGACACGCCACGUCGCGUUCGGAUUCGACGCCUCGCAGAGCCACCCCCGUAACACGUAAAGCCUGAAUCGAGCGCGAACGGAUCCACCCUCGUAUACACUUUUUCACAAUUUUUUCAACUUAUAAGCAACAACUCCAAAUCGCUGUGACUGUUUUGUGUUAGAGGGGCGUCUGACGUUGUUUAAUCGCACAUCAACACCCUCGGAGUUGCCUUGAAAAAUCAGACCUUAACAAUCCAUUUUUCCAGUCUUCACUAAAUCCAACUUGUAUCGUCUCCUUGCAUCCUUGCCACUUUGCCACUUUGCCACUUUGCCACUUCCCCCUCCCCGCCCCAUGGACCACCGUGAGUACGCGAGUGACGGCAUCUUUGAAUGCAUUCUCUUCCCGUACGUUCCAUGUACUCUGUGUGCUUUUUGCUGGCAUUACCAAAUCUUCAUUGUCGGUCAUUGUUUAUCCGAAGAUGAGUAACUCAGCCGGAAGCAUUGUUCCUGGUGCCUGGGGUUUUUGUGACCAGUGAACCCUGCGGAUUCCACUUCUGGGAGGAUUCUUCUCGUCGUUUACAAAUGUGCGGAAUCGUCUGCGACAAAUACGGAAACCACCUAGAUCUACGGUCCAUUGUGCAAUCGCUCGGGAAGCUCGUUUCUUUUUAGAAGAAGAGAAAAAAAAUAGCAAAACGUCAGAGCGCUCCGUUAGAAUUACCGGAAAAUAUGCAUUCAUGAUUUUCUAUAAAAAAAUUUGAAUACCGUUAAACUAAAUUGACAAAAAUGCGUGAAUGAAUAAAAUGGAAUGUAAAAAGCGAUAAAAAGAGCCAAUGAAGUCUAACGAUGCGCGAGUCAAAAUCAUCGCGAUAAAAUAAAAUUUGUCCUAGGUUAUUCUCCGUCGACUCCACGUGCGCAGGAUUCGUGCACGAAGAAGAACGAAUUGAAAGUCGAGAGAAGCUCAAGUAUGUAGAAACUCGUUGAGGCGCAACGCACGCAUCCCGCCUAAAGAAGAUCGGCCGACGUUCCGCGAUGUAACUUGCUGGCAAUGCUGAAGUUUUUCGUCGGUGCGCCGGCAGCCCCCGACACGUCGUGCGGACUGCGGACGGGAACGCACGGAAAUGCCUCGACCGGCCGAUAAGUUCUCGCGUCGUAACGUCUCCUGCACCGGCGGGAGAGAAACGUUCUAAUAAGCCGAGCAUCGAGACACGUCGAAGGAGACUCGCGUGCCGAAUUUAGCUGCGUCGUUUCGUACGCACUUAAAGUCGGACGGCUCUGCAUAUGGUUGUGACAAUUAACGGGCUCAGCCUCGUACUGUGCAGCAUGCAAUAUCGUAAUUUCGUCUAAAGCGACACAAGUCACGGGGUUAAUUGCGCGAAUCGCGUUAUUGAGCUCUCAAUCGGCGACGAUAGGAUCGAACAUUCGGGUGGCUAGAUUUCCCGCUGGAGACGAGGAUUAAUUGAAAAAAGCCUGAGCCAUCAUGUCGAAGUUAUGACGCGUUCACAAUCGACCGUGCGCCCGAGACUAGCAAGAAGAGGGCAGCCUGAGAUCCGGAGGACAUGUUCUCGGCGUAGUGGCGCGCAUGGGGGUGGCUGCACCCGGGGUUAACGCGAGGGGCUGUAGGCGGAAUUCAAAGAAAUGAUAGGCACGCGGAAUUAUUAGUGGGUGCAGUUGCGGUGAGGAGCGCAGGGGGUGCUCGAUGCUGCCGCUCGGCGGCGGCGGCGGCGGGAGGGAAGCGGAGGGGAAUUCGCAAGGAUCAAACUGGGCAAGAAUGUCGAAGGGCUCGCGAUACUGCCAGCUGCGCCCUCGAAGGAUGCACGUGCGCCUGAUCGUCGCCAUCUUCUGGAUCCACGCAGCUCUCGUGUGCACCGGACAGAAGCCAAUAAAUCUCGGUGGCGUCAAGAAACGUGACGUCUACAUUGCCGGUUUCUUUCCGUACGGGAGACACGUGCCGGAGAGUCACAUUGGGCGCGGCGUGAUGCCUGCGGUCAAGUUGGCCGUGGACCAUAUCAACGAAGAUCCGGCGAUGCUCAGGAAUUAUCGGCUGCACAUGUGGUGGAACGAUACCGAGUGCAACGCAGCGGUGGGAGUGAAAGCCUUCUUCGACAUGAUGCACAGUGGACCGCACAAGGUGAUGCUGUUCGGCGCAGCCUGCACUCAAGUCACGGACCCGAUAGCAAAAGCUUCAAAACAUUGGCGACUCACUCAGCUAAGCUAUGCAGACACUCACCCGAUGUUCACCAGCGACAGCUUUCCCAAUUUCUUCAGGGUGGUACCUUCCGAGAAUGCAUUUAAUGCGCCACGAGUCGCCCUCCUGAUGCAUUUCAAUUGGACCAGAGUCGGCACAAUCUAUCAGAAUGAGCCACGAUAUGCACUGGCGCACAAUAGACUGGUGGCCGAUCUAGACGACAACAAGAUGGAGGUCGUGGAGACGCAGAGCUUUGCGACGGAAGUGACGACAGCCCUAGAGAAGCUCAAGGAGAAGGACGUCCGGAUAAUACUGGGAAAUUUCGACGAGUCCUGGGCUAGGCAAAUUUUCUGUAAGGCUUUCAAAUUCGGCAUGUUUGGAAGGAAGUAUCAGUGGGUAAUAAUGGGGACCUACGGAGAAGAAUGGUGGAUGCGGCCCGGUGGCGGCUGCGCCCCAUCCGAACUGGCCGAAGCUUUGCACGGUGCCAUCUUGACUGACCUGCUUCCACUUUCUACGGAGCAGCAGAUUACGAUUUCUGGGAUCACUCCGGACGAGUACAGGAUCGAGUACGACUCGAGACGCGGGACCGAGUACUCGAGGUUUCACGGGUACACCUACGACGGGAUCUGGGCCGUCGCCCUGGCGAUUCAGCACGUCGCGCGAAGGAUACGACACUUUCGUCGCAAUCAGACUGUCGCCGACUUUAAGUAUCGCGACGAGCUGUGGGAGCGACUCUUCUUGGAGGCACUGAGAAACACGAGCUUCGAGGGCGUCACCGGUCCCGUAAGAUUCUAUGACAACGAGAGGAAGGCGUAUAUCUUAUUGAAGCAAUUUCAGAAUGGCAACGAAGUGAAAGUUGGGGAGUACAAUGGGGUGACGGGGAAUCUGGACCUGAGCCGCGGUCAGCCUCUCGUGUGGCGUGGGAGAUCACCGCCAAAGGACAGGACGCUACACAUAAUCGAGCACUCGAUGGUGAACAUCACGAUUUACGCGGCGCUUGCAUCAGCGGCGAGUCUCGGUAUCGUCAUGGCAGCCAUCUUCCUUGCCAUAAAUAUCAAAUACAGGAAUCAGAGGUACAUAAAAAUGUCAUCGCCCCACCUGAACAACCUCAUUAUCGUCGGGUGCAUGCUGACUUACAGCAGCGUCAUCUUUCUCGGCCUGGACUCCCAGUUGUCGAGCGUCACCGCCUUCCCCUACAUCUGCACAGCAAGAGCCUGGCUCCUAAUGGCCGGUUUCUCUUUGGCCUUCGGCUCGAUGUUCUCGAAAACAUGGCGAGUGCACUCCAUCUUCACCGACGUCAAACUCAACAAGAAGGUAAUCAAGGAUUAUCAGCUGUUCAUGGUCGUGGGCGUACUCCUAGUCAUCGAUCUGGCAAUCAUGACCACUUGGCAGGUGGCCGAUCCCUUUUACCGCGAAACCAAGCAAAUGGAGCCAUACCCUCACCCUUCCAGCGAGGACAUCAUCAUCAUACCGGAGAACGAAUACUGUCAGAGCAACAGGAUGACCGUCUACUUGGGAAGCAUAUACGCUUACAAAGGUCUCCUCAUGAUUUUCGGUGCUUUCUUGGCCUGGGAAACGCGGCACGUCAGUAUACCGGCACUGAACGACAGUAAAUACGUCGGCAUGAGCGUCUACAACGUCGUGAUAAUGUGCGUAACCGGAGCGGCCAUAAGUUUUGUCUUGGCCGACAAGCAGGACGCCAUGUUCAUCAUGCUGGCGGUUUUUAUCAUAUUCUGCAGCACAGCCACUUUGUGCCUCGUCUUCGUGCCGAAGCUCAUAGAAUUACGUAGGAAUCCUCAGGGCGCGAUAGACAAGAGGAUCAGGGCGACACUGAGGCCCAUGUCGAAGACCCGUAGGGAUUCAUCCGUCAGCGAAUUGGAGGAACGAUUGAAAGAGGCCACUGCAGCCAAUCAAAAGUUUCGCAAGCAAUUAUUGGAGAAAGAAUCGGAGCUGCAGAUGUACUUGAGAAGACUGGAGAGCGACAGUGUGGCUGACACGCAGGAGACCAUGGACAGAUUGGCAGUUCCGCGGCAGGAGUCAAUUAUCAAAAGAGAAGAGCCCACUGUCCAGCGGCAUGGCACGCAGAACCACAAAGGGCCGUCGCUCACUACAGAAACCACGGACAUCUCCAUGUCCAUGUGUAGCUUAAACUCCACGACGACCUCUCAACCGGAAUUAGACUACGUGAAUCUGAGUGCGGCAGACAACCACGCGACGAAGAAGAAGACGUCAUUCUCAAAGAUGCCGGCCGUCGCCAUCGAAAGCGAGCGCGUCCCCCUGGUACAGGCGGGAGCGACCCUGGCCAACAAUAAAUCGUCAAACCUCGCGUCGGCCCUUAAGCAUACGGGGGACAGUGCUCCGCGCAGGAAGAGCCGUUCGGUGGAUGGAAAGGAGUGCGAACCUCUGAUAGCAAAGAGUCCCGAGCCGAAGCUUAUGGGCCAGACGAACGUGGAGUUCGUGCCGGAGGCCGUCGAGGAGUCGGAGUCUAUCGUCCUCGAGGAAACGGAGAUACCCAGAGACGCAAAGAGUCAGAGAGCGAACGACGUCCUGGAGCAUCGGUCCAGAUUGCCCACUCCGCCCCCUCCCAAGAACGUCUCCUUCGGGGAACCUCAGGAGCAGAGUUACUUCGAGCAAACGAUACUACCGCCACCUGUCCAGUUCGUCCCGAAGCACCGUCACGCGGGAUCCACCAGUGUGUCCGGGCAUCAGAGCUCCCUGAGACGAAGAUCCUCCGUCAAGAACAACGGCGUAGCCCACUCGCACCAGGAACUCCUCGAGAAGCGUCGCACCAGUGUUCCAGUGAACUCGAUAAGCUACAUCUCGACGGAGAACGUCAGAGCCGGCGCCAUUGACGAAUCCGUCGGUUCCCUCGACAGGGCUUACGUGAUCGGGGAGUGCGGCCACCGCAGAGCCUUCGCUCAACCCAGCACGGGAUACAGGUGCGAGAAGCACGGCGGCGGCAGAGGUCACAGCCACACGAUGCUCAACGGCGGCUCCAACGAGACUCCGACGCCGCGGAGACUCCGGAACCACUACGAGGCGCACAACGCAAGCUCGCCCAGUGUUCCGGCGACGGUCAACGCCAGCUUCUCGGAUACAGAAAAGUACGAGGAGUCAAUGUCGACGAUCAUCCAGCGUUCGGUGUCGGAAAAAUCGCGAGAAAAGUGUCAGCGCGGACGCGCGACUUUGGGACACGCGGCGGCCGAGUGUCCGCACCGGCGGACGGCGGCGCGGCGUUUGCGCGAGUGCAGGCACACGGAGUCGAAGUUACGGCAGCAGGCGCGACUGGACUACGUGCAGAGCUCGCCGAACGUUGCAACGAUACACAACAGCAAAUUCGCGAGCGCAAAUCCACGUGGCGGCGGCGGCGGCGGCGGCGGCGCCGGGAUCGGCGUCAUUGCCGGGAGCGGAGGCGCCGGAGGUGUCGGUAGUGUCGGUGCGUCUAUCGGGAUCGUCGGUGGCUCGACGGCGAACGUCUCCAAAAUGUACAGUGCUGUGUCGGACGGUGAACUGCUGGACCUCGCGAUCCUGCCGAUCUUUCAGAAGCUGCUUAGCGAAAGGCACAAAGGCACGACCCGCGGCGGUUACGGGGCGAGCAUAGCCAGCUGCCCGAAUAUAUCAGUAAAGUGCGACAUAGUCGAGUAUCUUUAACGAUCCGGUUGCGAGUUUAUUAUUUACCGACUGAUUCACCGUCUUGGGAUUGCACGUGCUCUUGGUCGUUCUCUCCUUACUCUCGCGAAUGAUACUUCGAGUCGAACCUCAAGAUUCGACGUUCAAUAGCCAAGAAUCGAAACAAUUCCUUCGACUCUUAACCAUCGAGUCUCGCGCUUCAAACAGAAUGGAAAUGAGCUGUGCAACUGAAAGACUUGCGGUUCAAAAGAAAGAAAAAGAGAGAGAGAGAGAGAGAGAGAGAGAGCGCGCGCAGAAAGUAGGAAAUCUGGCACGUUCGCCCAUAUUGACCUCACGAAAGAUGCAUAUAACUUACCCGAUGUAACGGGAAGAAACGUAGCAUCUCAGCUAGUCCCUUCUGUCCUCUAAAUUUGGUCCUUUUCUCUGAAGUUCCACCGGCAUCCAGUAGGUGGCAGAAUGUCCCGUCAGUGACUGAAUCGAAAACAAGCGUGAAUCUACAUCUUGGUGCGCAGGCAGACUUUCCACUUAUGUCGCUGACUCCCAAUGACACACGCGGAAUAUCGAGAGACACCUUGGAUGUCACGAUCGAUCCCAAUAAGCGAUGGUUUUAUUACGUUCACAUUUUGCAAAAUGUUGUCCUUGCCGUCCGCUCGUCCAGUUCCACAUCCAUCCAGGAAAGCUGAGCCAUUCUGACGAAAGUCUUUCCAUGGUUGGUCCUCGCGUAUUACCGGAAGUCGCUGCGCAAAUUCCUCAAGGAAUUCCAUGAACGGAAGCCAAGGACACGCGGUUCGUAUGUCCACUGUUAAAUUAUAUCGUACCUUGUGUUUCGUGCUGUGAAGUCGGCCAUUUUCCAUUCGAAUCUUCAUAUCGAAUAAUCUCCGGAUCUGCAAAAGUUCCAAUGAGUUUCCCUUUUCUUUUUUUUCCGGAUCUUUGUGCCGGAAAUACAAAAGCCUCGAGUAGCCACCGGAAGGAAGGCGGCUCUCCGGCACAAUAUAAAAUACGGUGACGAUUAGGAACUAUUUGUCGUACAAUCUCUAUCGAUCACUGUGUACUGCAGUACGUAGUUAGCUAGAUAAUUAAACGAAAAGUCAGGUUGAAAACAAAGUAAUGUCGAUUACGCGGCGCGAGGUUGGAUGUGAGAAUGAUUCGCGACUGGAACGAUCGAACUCGCCCCAAGAUCAUCGACUGCGAUUUUACAUGGAAACUGGGACGGAGUUUUCGAGAAUUUUCUAAAAUUUGAACGAAGGUGCUGCUGAUAGAUAUUUUCUUCGUUCCACAGGAAGGAUCCCGGUAAAUAUCAUUAUUAUUGUAAAGGACAGGGGCAACUUCGAUCUUCCUUAAGCCAGCUCCACACUGUCCGAGCCUGCUUGUGAUCUUAGUAUAAGAAUUCCUCUUUUUUUCCAUUUUCAUCCGAGGAACAAAUGGGGAGAGCGACUCCUCGGUAUUGCACGCGUGUCAACGUAGCUGCAUUAAGGUAUGAAAGUGCAUAUUUGCGCAGCCUACAUCCGCGAUCUACUACCACCAACAAAUAAUCGUAAUUUUUCGAUUUCGCCGUACAGACUUUUAUACACAUGUCAUCCUCAAUAAAGUUCCUCGUAGAACUUAAUAAUUACGGCUUCAGAUUCCCGAUGCGGGGCAUUGGAGGUUCUACUAUGGUUAAGAGAGAUGCGAGAAAAGAUUAAGGAGAGAGAGAGAGAGAGAGAGAGAGAGAGAGAGAGAGAGAGAGAGAGAGAGAGGAACAAGAGAAAAUAAGAAAACUCGGGGAAAUUUGUAAGCGAUACACAUGAGAACGGCCCGAAGGACUGGGUCGAAUAGCUGAGGACUUGACGGAGCUGGCGAAUUCAAAGUGCGAAUGGAAACCGACAGUGAGAGUGUGUGUGUGUGUGUGUGUGUGAAUAAAACGAAUACGGAAUGAACUACGAAAACACGACUGGGCAGAGUAUAUGUAUGUAUAGUUAAAUAGGGCGAAGCACUAAUGAUAAUGGUCAAAUUAUGGGAAUAUAGGAAUAAAAAGCUGGUCAAGUGUGAGAGAAGUGAGCAACGAUGAUUUGCCCGAUACGCCAGCAUUGUUGAAACAUUUAAUAGAUGUAUACAAAAAACGUUUUUAACUAUUACCGAUCUUUAAUAAAAAAUUUGGUCUAGCGAGAA